ACCACAAUACAUCAUCUUGAAAGAUAAGAAAGCAAUAUCAAUUAAUUAAUUACAUAUAAAUUCCUAUAUUUUAUAGGGUUCAUUUGUGUGAGAGCAAUUAGCAGCGGCUGCAACACAACAACCAAAGUUGAAAAGACAAACAAAAAUGCGCAGCUAAAUGAGUCAUAAGUAAUUCAUGCCGGUGCGCCAUUGUUACCUUGAGCCUAUUUGAAGGCUACCCUUAAUAUUAAUUGUUAUCCCUUGCCUCUUGAAUAACGAUAUCAAGAGCAUUGCUCAAAAUUU
rnacentral:lncRNA from 1 species